GAAGAAUCAAGGAAGUAAAGGACCUGUCUCAAAGUCACACAACUGCCAGGAGCUGAGACAGAAUGCGAGAAGAAGAAAUAGUAAAAGGCAGGAAUUUAUGUGCAAGAAAUGAUUUAGCAGAAGGAAUAGAGGUUAAAUAAUCAGAGAUUAUCGUAAGAAAGAAGGAAAUCUUGAGGAGUUUGAUACUUUUCAUCCUCCAGCUAUAAAAUCAUCUUGUAGGGGGAAGCUGUACAUUGUGGAAAAUAAAAGGCAAGCAGUUCCUGGCCUGUGAUAUUCCAGUUAGAGGUGUCUGACUGACAGCAUGUUGGCACCGAGGGAAGCGAUGGGCUUCGGCUCCAGUUUCUGUCCUGAGACCACAGCAGAAUGUGCCUUGGACAAAGCUUGGACUCCUGGAUCUUCUGGUAACUUCAAAAAUCUCAGGCCUUCUAAUUUCUUCUCUACGAAACCACAGCUAAAUUCGAUAAAGGAAGGAAAGGAAUAUUGAGCAUCUACCCUGCUAAAUGAUAUUUCUCAAACUCAGAAGGAACAUUGCUGCCUUGAACUUUUAGAUCUUUCACCUCCAUGGGCUCUGCCACCCACCUCCCACCAUCAGCAGAGAACUCACUGCUAUCAGUAUGAUCAGGUCUCAGGGUGGUGAACUUUUUCUUUGAAUUCCUAACCUGU
rnacentral:lncRNA from 1 species